GACCAGCGCAGCUCCACGCACACAUUGGCCCUGCUUUACAGAUAAGGAAACUGCAGGGCAAGGAGAUGAAGUCACAACUCAGUAGAACUGAACUGGAACCACUGUCUGGCUUUACUCCCUGCACAGAAGUGGAAGCCAGUUCUCCAUCUGGAGCUGGGGUGGAGUGCGUGACGUCUAUACUGCCAUGCUUGUGCCGUUACUGGAAAGAGGUCUCGAUCCUUGGAGCCCAUGCAAGAAAGAAUUCAGGCUGUGGCUGACAGCCCCUCGGGACAGCAGGGCCCUAAGGGCAGAACCAGAGCACUUCUGGAAGGUUAGAGGAAGAAGGUACCUCAGCACCACCCAAGAUAGUUCCUCCUUUAGGAACUGUGAAAACUGAAGCUCAGAAAGAGUGACUUGCCUGAUGCCACAGGGCGUGUCAGAGGCAACGGGCAACCUUGCAGGAUGAGAGGGGAAAGCCCCACACGCCAAGAGCUCAAGCCCAGGAAAUCAGGCAGCUCAUGCUCUGUGCUGCCUCUCCCUUUCUCUCAAGCUGGACUGUUGCAGUGGCCUCCUGCCUGGUUCCAUUUCUAUGAAGCGGCCGAAGGGACUGAGAGCAGACUUCUUACCAGCUCACCCCCAACUCCCAACCCUCAGUGCUGCCCAUCAUUCGGGAAACGGAGGCCAAAACCUCAUCACCCACCACGUGGAACUCCCCACAAACUUGCCUCCAAGCCCCUUUCCGGCUCUGUUUGCCACUUUUCUCUGUCAUCUCUAGACACUAGACGCUUCUGUUUCGACUUGGCUCAUGCUGUUGCUCCUGCCUGGACCUCUCUUCCCUCACUCCUCUUGAUAAACUCCUGCAUAUCCUUCAACACCCAGCUCCAAGGUCACCUCUUCUGCACUCUCUCCUCCCUGAGUCAGCAGAUACAGAAGGAAGUUACCACCACUGCUGGCUCCCAUGCCCACGGGAGCCUUUGCUAAUAGAUCUUGGCAUCCUUUUCCCAAGAUCCUGGCAGUGCCUCUUACUCUUAAGACACCGCAAUCAAGGCAGCAGGACUAAGGAAUCAGGUAACUCAAGAAUGAGAUGGUACUGCCAACCUCGCCUCCCACCAGGUUACCGCAUCCUGGUCCCUAAGCACCUCACACAAACCCCCAUCCUUGUGUUUAGGACCUGGGCUCUGAUCAUUUAUUUCCCUGUAAUUCACAUUAGUUGGGGAAUAUUUUCUCUCUGGCACCUAACACAUGGUGUUAUGGGCUGAAUUAUGUCCCCAUAAAAUUCCUGUAUGGCUGAGCGCAGUGGCUCAUGCCUGUAAUAGCAGCACUUUGGGAGGCUGAGGCGGCUGAACUGUGUUCCCAUAAAAUUCCUAUGUCUGGCUGGGCGUGGUGGCUCACGCCUGUAAUCCCAGCACUUUGGGACGCCUUGGCGGGUGGACCAUUGGAGGUUAGGGGUUCAAGACCAGCCUGGCCAACAUGGUGAAACCCUGUCUCUACUAAAAGUACAAAAAGUAGCCAGCCAUGGUGGCAGGCACCUAGGCCAGCUACUAGGGAAACUGAGGCAGGAGAAUCACUUGAGCCUGGGAGGCA
rnacentral:lncRNA from 10 species